AUACGUAGGGGGCGAGCGUUGUCCGGAAUGAUUGGGCGUAAAGGGCGCGUAGGCGGCCCGGUAAGUCUGGAGUGAAAGUCCUGUUUUUAAGAUGGGAAUUGCUUUGGAUACUGUCGGGCUUGAGUGCAGGAGAGGUAAGUGGAAUUCCCAGUGUAGCGGUGAAAUGCGUAGAGAUUGGGAGGAACACCAGUGGCGAAGGCGACUUACUGGACUGUAACUGACGCUGAGGCGCGAAAGUGUGGGGUGCAAACAGGAUUAGAUACCCUGGUAGUCCACACUGUAAACGAUGAAUGCUAGGUGUAGGGGGUAUCGACCCCUUCUGUGCCGCAGUCAACACAAUAAGCAUUCCGCCUGGGGAGUACGGCCGCAAGGUUGAAACUCAAAGGAAUUGACGGGG
rnacentral:rRNA from 1 species